UGGGCUGCAGCAUGUCCAGCAUGACGGCCGUGCCCUCACACAGCAGCAUGCACUCCACCCGCAGCUGGUAGCUGUGGGGCAGAGCAGAGGUCAGAGGCCGGGCGCCCACUGCCUGCCUUAUGACUGCACUGUGCAGGCAGGUCGGGGCCCCUUCCCCACCAGCGGGCCCAGUCUGAGGGCUGGCGGGCUUACCAGGGGAUGCCCAGCAGGAGGAGGUAGAACCGGUCAGCGCUGGCUAGCUUGGCCUGAUCGUCCCUGAAGGAGCGCAGGUUCUCAAUCUGCAGGAAGCAGGCCCACGUGAAGGAGCUUGAGGAGCUGUUUGAGGACCUCCACGUCAAACCUGGUGGUAUCCCCAGCCCGGAUCAUAGUGGUGACCUCCUCGUUGGAGCUGGAGAGGGAAGAUGUUGAGGUUCAGACUCUUCUUGGGGUCCAGGAAUGUGAUCUGGAAAACAUCACAGCCUGUUGGUCGGGGACAUGGAAGGCCGCACGGAGCCCCCGUCUGACCCGCGACCUGGCCCCACCUCCCUGGGCUCCCUCCUGGCCGGGGC